rnacentral:rRNA from 1 species
GUUAGCGGCGGACGGGUGAGUAACACGUGGGUAACCUACCUAUAAGACUGGAAUGUAACCUACCUAUAAGACUGGAAUAACUCCGGGAAACCGGGGCUAAUGCCGGAUAAUAUGCAGAACCGCAUGGUUCUGCAAUGAAAGACGGUUUUGCUGUCACUUAUAGAUGGACCCGCGCCGUAUUAGCUAGUUGGUAAGGUAAUGGCUUACCAAGGCAACGAUACGUAGCCGACCUGAGAGGGUGAUCGGCCACACUGGAACUGAGACACGGUCCAGACUCCUACGGGAGGCAGCAGUAGGGAAUCUUCCGCAAUGGGCGAAAGCCUGACGGAGCAACGCCGCGUGAGUGAUGAAGGUCUUCGGAUCGUAAAACUCUGUUAUUAGGGAAGAACAAGUGCGUAGGUAACUAUGCGCACCUUGACGGUACCUAAUCAGAAAGCCACGGCUAACUACGUGCCAGCAGCCGCGGUAAUACGUAGGUGGCAAGCGUUAUCCGGAAUUAUUGGGCGUAAAGCGCGCGUAGGCGGUUUUUUAAGUCUGAUGUGAAAGCCCACGGCUCAACCGUGGAGGGUCAUUGGAAACUGGAAAACUUGAGUGCAGAAGAGGAAAGUGGAAUUCCAUGUGUAGCGGUGAAAUGCGCAGAGAUAUGGAGGAACACCAGUGGCGAAGGCGACUUUCUGGUCUGCAACUGACGCUGAUGUGCGAAAGCGUGGGGAUCAAACAGGAUUAGAUACCCUGGUAGUCCACGCCGUAAACGAUGAGUGCUAAGUGUUAGGGGGUUUCCGCCCCUUAGUGCUGCAGCUAACGCAUUAAGCACUCCGCCUGGGGAGUACGGCCGCAAGGCUGAAACUCAAAGGAAUUGACGGGGACCCGCACAAGCGGUGGAGCAUGUGGUUUAAUUCGAAGCAACGCGAAGAACCUUACCAAAUCUUGACAUCCUUUGACCGCUCUAGAGAUAGAGUCUUCCCCUUCGGGGGACAAAGUGACAGGUGGUGCAUGGUUGUCGUCAGCUCGUGUCGUGAGAUGUUGGGUUAAGUCCCGCAACGAGCGCAACCCUUAAGCUUAGUUGCCAGCAUUAAGUUGGGCACUCUAAGUUGACUGCCGGUGACAAACCGGAGGAAGGUGGGGAUGACGUCAAAUCAUCAUGCCCCUUAUGAUUUGGGCUACACACGUGCUACAAUGGACAGUACAAAGGGCAGCGAAACCGCGAGGUCAAGCAAAUCCCAUAAAGCUGUUCUCAGUUCGGAUUGUAGUCUGCAACUCGACUACAUGAAGCUGGAAUCGCUAGUAAUCGUAGAUCAGCAUGCUACGGUGAAUACGUUCCCGGGUCUUGUACACACCGCCCGUCACACCACGAGAGUUCGUAACACCCGAAGCCGGUGGAGUAACCUUUUAGGAGCUAGCCGUCGAAGGUGGGAAACUCCGGGAAACCGGGGCUAAUGCCGGAUAAUAUGCAGAACCGCAUGGUUCUGCAAUGAAAGACGGUUUUGCUGUCACUUAUAGAUGGACCCGCGCCGUAUUAGCUAGUUGGUAAGGUAACGGCUUACCAAGGCAACGAUACGUAGCCGACCUGAGAGGGUGAUCGGCCACACUGGAACUGAGACACGGUCCAGACUCCUACGGGAGGCAGCAGUAGGGAAUCUUCCGCAAUGGGCGAAAGCCUGACGGAGCAACGCCGCGUGAGUGAUGAAGGUCUUCGGAUCGUAAAACUCUGUUAUUAGGGAAGAACAAGUGCGUAGGUAACUAUGCGCACCUUGACGGUACCUAAUCAGAAAGCCACGGCUAACUACGUGCCAGCAGCCGCGGUAAUACGUAGGUGGCAAGCGUUAUCCGGAAUUAUUGGGCGUAAAGCGCGCGUAGGCGGUUUUUUAAGUCUGAUGUGAAAGCCCACGGCUCAACCGUGGAGGGUCAUUGGAAACUGGAAAACUUGAGUGCAGAAGAGGAAAGUGGAAUUCCAUGUGUAGCGGUGAAAUGCGCAGAGAUAUGGAGGAACACCAGUGGCGAAGGCGACUUUCUGGUCUGCAACUGACGCUGAUGUGCGAAAGCGUGGGGAUCAAACAGGAUUAGAUACCCUGGUAGUCCACGCCGUAAACGAUGAGUGCUAAGUGUUAGGGGGUUUCCGCCCCUUAGUGCUGCAGCUAACGCAUUAAGCACUCCGCCUGGGGAGUACGGCCGCAAGGCUGAAACUCAAAGGAAUUGACGGGGACCCGCACAAGCGGUGGAGCAUGUGGUUUAAUUCGAAGCAACGCGAAGAACCUUACCAAAUCUUGACAUCCUUUGACCGCUCUAGAGAUAGAGUCUUCCCCUUCGGGGGACAAAGUGACAGGUGGUGCAUGGUUGUCGUCAGCUCGUGUCGUGAGAUGUUGGGUUAAGUCCCGCAACGAGCGCAACCCUUAAGCUUAGUUGCCAGCAUUAAGUUGGGCACUCUAAGUUGACUGCCGGUGACAAACCGGAGGAAGGUGGGGAUGACGUCAAAUCAUCAUGCCCCUUAUGAUUUGGGCUACACACGUGCUACAAUGGACAGUACAAAGGGCAGCGAAACCGCGAGGUCAAGCAAAUCCCAUAAAGCUGUUCUCAGUUCGGAUUGUAGUCUGCAACUCGACUACAUGAAGCUGGAAUCGCUAGUAAUCGUAGAUCAGCAUGCUACGGUGAAUACGUUCCCGGGUCUUGUACACACCGCCCGUCACACCACGAGAGUUCGUAACACCCGAAGCCGGUGGAGUAACCUUUUAGGAGCUAGCCGUCGAAGGUGGGA